rnacentral:rRNA from 1 species
GAUGAACGCUGGCGGCGUGCCUAAUACAUGCAAGUCGAGCGAACGGACGAGAAGCUUGCUUUUCUGAUGUUAGCGGCGGACGGGUGAGUAACACGUGGAUAACCUACCUAUAAGACUGGGAUAACUUCGGGAAACCGGAGCUAAUACCGGAUAAUAUUUUGAACCGCAUGGUUCAAAAGUGAAAGACGGUCUUGCUGUCACUUAUAGAUGGAUCCGCGCUGCAUUAGCUAGUUGGUAAGGUAACGGCUUACCAAGGCAACGAUGCAUAGCCGACCUGAGAGGGUGAUCAGCCACACUGGAACUGAGACACGGUCCAGACUCCUACGGGAGGCAGCAGUAGGGAAUCUUUCGCCAUGGGCGAAAGCCUGAUGGAGCCACGCCGCGUGAGUGAAGAAGGUCUUCGGAUUGUAAAACUCUUUUAAUAGGGAAGAACAUAUGUGUAAGUAACUGUGCACAUCUUGACGGUACCUAAUCAGAAAGCCACGGCUAACUACGUG